AGAGUUUGAUCAUGGCUCAGAGCGAACGUUAGCGGCGGGCCUAACACAUGCAAGUCGAACGAGAAUGGAGGCUUCGGCCUCCUAGUAAAGUGGCGGACGGGUGCGUAACACGUGGGUAAUCUACCUUCCGGCGGGGGACAACAGUCCGAAAGGAUUGCUAACACCGCAUACGUCAGCGGCGCCUACGGGCGCUGUUGGGAAAGAUGGCCUCUCCUUGGAAGCUGUCACCGGAAGAUGAGCCCGCGCCCCAUCAGCUAGUUGGUGAGGUAAUGGCUCACCAAGGCUUAGACGGGUAGCUGGUCUGAGAGGAUGAUCAGCCACACUGGGACUGCGACGCGGCCCAGACUCCUACGGGAGGCAGC
rnacentral:rRNA from 1 species